GGCUGUUGUUUUUUAUUGUGUAAUUGUUAUCUGUGAUUAUUUUAAAUUUUUAUUUAAGUCUUGUGUACGAGUUUAUAUUAUUUAUUUAAAACUCUGAUGGCUCACAACGCAAGUUUCCCAAGAUCAGUAUUUUUUUCAGUCUCAAUUGAAGUUACAGAUUAAUAAAAAUGGACUUCAGGUCAGAUAAACCGUGUACGGCUGGACGAAUAGCCCCAACCGGUCGUUUAACUCCGUCAAUUCAUCAAUCUGUCAAUGGAAAACGGAAAGUUAUUCCUGUACCUCCGCCGAGAAUACCAACUCCUAUGCCAAUUGUUAAUAAUAAUAAACAAAGAAACAGCAGCAAUGUUCAAAUUUCUCAAAUUCCGUCCGUACAGAAAAAAGAAUCACACGGUAAUAUAGGUAAAAUAGCCAGACGUUAUCUUGACGAUAAUAUGCAACAAGUAUGGAUAAAUCCGCGAUUGAUCUCAAUGAUAAAUAUGGAAGCUGUUACAUCAACAGAUUACGAUUCAGCAAAUUUAAGCCAUAAUUUUAAUCAAAUUGGGUUCAGCACUUAUAAUUAUUCACAGUUUGAAGAAAAGUACAAGUCAACUCAGCAAAAUUCAACAAAGCUUGGAACAAUAAGUCAAACACUAUCAUCCCAGUCAAAUGAUUUCGUCAGCUAUUUAUACGACGAUAAAUAUCCUCGUAAUCAAUUAAAGUCAGAACGUGAUAGUAAUAAACAGCAUUCGUACUUAUUACCUCAUGAAGUAAAAUCAAAAUCACAAAAUUUACGUGGUGAUUUAACCUACUACCAAAUAGAUUCACCUGGUAAACACGAUACACGUCACAACAAAUGUCAUCGAUCGGAUGAUAAAAAUAUUUCGUACGAAACACCCGCCACGACAAUAGUCACUGAUGAAAAUAAUAAAAAAGAUGGUAAAGAUAAUAACAAACGUGAUAAAGUUGGAAAGCACACUCACGUUAACAAAUCUGAUUCAAAGAUUAAUGGACCACUGUCAAUAAAUCAACAAUUUAUUAAAUCAACAACCAAUGAGUCGGAUGAUGAGUGUCAUCUCAGUCAUAUUGGACAAAUAUCAUCGAAUCAACAUCAUCAACAACAAUUUCAAGUUUCAUACAAGUAUCGUCAAUUAGAUAGACCGCCCAAAUACCAAGAAUAUCCUCCUCGGGAUUCAUUAAGGUGUGAACAACCUGCACCUAGAUAUUAUCAAGAUCCUCCUAAAUAUUCUGAUGUUAUAAGAAAAGAUGACUUGAAAAAAAUUCCCGAAGAGAAGGGACGACGGCAAGUGGGGAUACGUAGCGGGAGUGUUGGCGAGACGCCUGUUAAUCUAGUCAGUAUCACGCCAACUACGCGAGAAGUAACACGUGGUGCCAUGACACGUCAUCGACAAACAAAUAAACAACAACAAAUAGAUGACUCUAAUCAAGUAACAACUGAUAAUUCAAAAGAGCCAACCACUCAACAUAAUUUUACAGAACAAACAACAGCACCACCGGGAUUAACAACAACAACGACAAAUAGUAGUAGUGGUACUAUGACAACUACUACUAUCACAAACACCACCACCACCACCAGCAAAACCGAUCAAUCUUGUCGUAAUAAUUUUAAUGGGGGUAUUAUCCUGGGUGUUAAUGUCAGUGGAGUUAUUUGUCCCGAUAUACUUGAAAAAAAAUAUGACAGAGUUAAAUUAAUUGGCGGAGCAUCAGGAGGCAGUAAUAUUGGAGUUAAUAGUAGUAAUAAUAAUAAUAAUAAAACAACAAUUACAAUGAUUAAUAAUAAAAAUGAUAAAGUCAAAAGUGAUAGCAAUAAUGAUAAAAUACGAGGGGGCAAUAAUCGUGAUUCAAUCCUCCAUAAACAUGAAAAAGAUUGUAUUAAAAAGACGAAUCAUGAUGGGCACGUGGUUGGUUAUAAAGCAGACAAUAUCAAGUAUUACGGUGAGCUUAAGGGAUUUAAGUCUUAUGGUGUUAUCGAUAAACCAGCUGGGAUACAUGAUAAGACACAUCAAUAUGCAGUCCCUGAAAAAGUAGUAUAUCCAAUAAAUAAUUUUCCUAUUGGAGGAGUAACUAAUCAUGAUAAAACCCAUUCUAAAUCAUCAAUACUUAAUUAUACAUCAAAGUUAACCGAUAAAAGUGUUGUACAAUGUGAUAAUAAUGUUAACAAGUACAGUGAUCAAAAUUAUUAUUACUACAAUAAUAAUCAUCAUCAUCAUCAUCAUCAUUACAGUAGUAGUAAUAGUAAUCGUUAUAAUUAUCAAAAAUCAAAUUGUCUUUUGCCGUUAUUUCAAGAAACAAAAUAUGCAUAUACUGUCAGUGGUGCUCCUGGUACACCCGCUCAAGCAAGUGCUGCUGCUGCAUUUUUUGCUAGAGCUGCACAAAAAUGGAAUUUAUCGUCGAGUCCGCACAGACGACGACGAUCAGGGGAUGAUAGUAUUGGACCCGAUGAACAUCCUAUAUUUCCAAAUGGCUACGCUGCUAUUCUUAACAAGUCACCACCACCAGCACCACCAGCUUUUUUACGACGAAUUGGGGUUAAAGAACUCACUGGUGUCGGCAAGGUAAAAGUAAUGCUGAGAAUAUCAUCCGGUGAAGGUGGUAGUUUUUUUACGGCUGACAAACGUAAAAAACAAAUAACAAUUAUUGAUCCAACGUCAGGACAAUCAGCAACGACUGAAUCAGACAGAAGGCCAACUGUUGCUGCUCCAAAGAUGUUUGCAUUCGACGCUAUUUUUACAGAAGAAGAUUCACAGAUAGAAAUAUGUUCAAGCGCGUUAACUGAUGUUAUUCAUGCUGUCAUUAAUGGUACAGACGGGUGCUUAUUUUGUUUUGGUCACGCCGGUUUAGGUAAAUCACACACAAUGCUCGGUACUCCUGAAGCUGGACAUACACUAGGUGCUAUUCCAUGUGCAAUAACGUGGUUAUUUCGUGGUAUAUCUGAGCAGCGACAAAGAACUGGAGCGAGAUUUAGUGUACGAGUAAGUUGCGUUGAAUUAACAACUGGACAACAUCAAUUAAAAGACUUGUUAGCUGCAUACGCAAAUGAUUCAGAACAAUCACCGGCGGUUUAUCUACGUGAUGAUCCACUGUUUGGAACACUGCAGCUUCAGCAGCACAGUGAACUUCGUGCUCCUACUGCUGAGCGUGCGGCAUUUUACUUGGACGCAGCAGUUGCUGGCCGUCAGUAUGAAGAUAGCAAUGCUCAUAUGCUCUAUACGCUUCAUGUUUAUCAAUACAGUGUUGCUGGUAAAGGUGGAGUUGCUGGUGGGCGUAGCAGACUUCAUUUAAUGGAUCUUGGUAAUUCAGAUCGUGGUAAAUCUGCUGGCGGUAUACCCUUGUCUGGUCUUGGAAAUAUAUUAUUAGCAAUAUUUAAUGGUCAAAAGCAUUUACCCUAUAAAGAACAUAAAUUAACCCAAUUAUUAAAAGAAUGCCUGGGUUCACUGACAUGCCAUGCAGCAAUGAUUGCUCAUGUAUCACCAAAUGCCCAACAUUAUACGGAUACCCUAACAACUGUACAAUUAGCCUCACGUAUACACAGAAUGCGCCGACGUAAAAUAAAAUUUGUAUCUGGUGGUACACAAGGAAAUGGUCACAGCAGUGGAAGUUCCGGUGAGGAAGCCGCACGACAAAAUACUGAGUGUGAUCCAAGCUCAAGUGAUUUAUCAGCAGACACUGUUAUUUAUGUUGGUCCAUCUGCUGAAGACGCAACUGAUGGAGAGCAUCCACCUGUUUAUAUUCCAAGUCUUAAUUCUGGUGAUCAAAGAUGUGCUAUGGGACGAAUUUUACGCGGUUCUGCUGCUGAAAGACCUUUAAAUAGUAAAUUUAUUGAUGAUCAACAUAGUCCAGUACACAAUAAUAAAACAAUUACUACAACAACUGCAACUGCAACUGCAACAACAACAACAACAACAACAACAACACUAUUAACAACAACGACGACAACAACUAAUGCAACGGCAGUAACACAAACGACAGCGUCAAUGGCACCAAUAAAAUCAUCUGUAAAAACAUUAACUCAAACGGCGUCUAAACAAACAUCGCCAGCUCACAGUAUUACACCAAAAUCAAGUCCAGCCCGUAAAAUUAAUACUAAAUCUUCCAUUAAUAAAUUAACAGACUCCCCAACAAAUAGUAAAAUACCAAUCUCUAGUAGUAAUAAUGCAAGUGGAAAUAAUGUUAUUAUUAUUGGAGCGUCUGACGAACAGUGGAUUGAUGGACCAAGAAUAUCUAAAUCAAAAGUUGCUGAAGCAAGACAUUUAUUUAAAGAUACUCAUCAUAAAAGAGAAACAUGGAUUGAUGGUCCUUUACAGCCAUUACUUAAUCAGCAGCAACAGCAGCAGCAGCAGCAGCAGCAGCAGCAGCAGCAACUACAACUACAACAACAAUCGUCACAGCAUACUGGAUACGGUUUUAUGGAUAAUCAUAAAAAAAUAAUGAUAAGAAAGUGGGUAGAAAAUCAGUCAUCACAAAUCCAACGGGCCAAGCACACGUCAUCGAGAUCGGAAUCUAAAUUAGGUCAAUCUUGUGGAAGCGGUGUCACUGGUGGUGUUGGUAUUUUUAAAGAUGUCACAAGUAGUGGUAGUGGUGGGGGCUCGGCGGGAUUUAAAAUGUCGUCUGAUGAUAAUGAGGAUGAUACGUCAUUAAGUACUGUGGGCAGCGAUAGUUUAAGAACAACUGAUGCUGAUGAUACCAUUGAUAAGAUUCGUUCUACUGGGGGUAAUAAAUUAUUAAAUUUAAUAAAUAAUAUAAAGUCAAAUACUGACUCUGGUUUAGAUUUAACAACUAGUCCUGUUAUUGAUGAUAGUAGUGAUAAUAAAAAUAAUGAUAUAAAUGAUGAUGAUGAUGAUGAUGUUAAUAUUGUAGAUAUUGAUGAUGAUGAUGAUGAUAAUGAAGAGGAAGAUGAAAUAAUUGUACCUCCACCGUUAAAAUUAAUUGAACCACUGAGUAAUGGUGUUAGUCGCGAAGUUUCAAUGGAGAGUCUUAAUUUAUCUCAUAAAGAUAUGGUAUUACCUUCGAGACAUUCACUGUCGUCGGAAGAUGAAAUUUUAGAGAUUAUUGAAGUUGAGGAUUUAGAACCAGUACCAAUGCAAGACUCGUGUUUGCAAGUUACCGAAGAAGAUAUAGCACUUUGUAUGGGUGAAAAUCCUUUGCCUGAAAGCGAUCAAGAGGAACAUCCGUUAAGGAUUUUGAGUCAAGAAAACUUGACAAUUGUCUCUACAUUCACCGAUUCAAUGUCCGUAAUGUCAGACAGCGAACGUUACAAACCGCAAUUUUCAUCAUCAGUUGGUACAGGUGUCUUACCGCGACCUUACUUUGACCAUGAAGACUUUCUUGAACAGGAAACUCGACACAAGUUUGAUCAAUUAGCUCGACUUCAUGAACUAUAUCAAAGUAAACUUGCUUUGGCCAAUGUAUCAAAUUCAGUGACUUAUCAGAGAGAAAACUCAUCUGUUGUCAGUGUCCAUGAUGUUCCAGCAAAUGUCUUCCGUCCACCAUCACGUUGUCAAUCUUUAUCGCUAUCUGAUGUUAUGUUUAAUGACAAUUCAAGUAACCAUGGAAGUAUAUACAGUGAGCCAGCGUAUAUACCUGGGAAUAACGAUGAAGAAAAAAUAUGUGAUAAUUGUCGACAAAGUAUGUCACGACCAGCAACAGCGUCUUAUUGGUACCCAACAAUUCAAGGAGGAGCAGGAUCUUCGCUAACUAAAAAUCAACAAGCAAUGUCUUCAGCGACUGGAAUGAGAAUGGGAAUGGGAAUAAGAAUGGGAAAAGGUGGUGGAGGAGGAUCAUCAUCAUCAGCAUUGCCAUUAUCAUCAGGUGGUGGUAAUGGUGGUGCAGUAUCGCAAAUUCCUAGCAGUAGUUUAUCACAUUUAGCAAGUCCAAAACGUUAUUGCGGUAAAUUUAGUGAUUGUAAUAUAUCUAGUCUACGACAUCCGGAUGGUGCGUCAAAUCCAAAUCUUAAAGAGGAAAUUGAAAGAAUACCGGGCAAUGGUGCUUCGGGGUCAGAUCCUGAAGAAGAAUAUAUUGAGGCUAAAAAAUUAUUCAACACUGCUGUUCAUGAAAGAUCUGAAAGAAGCGAAAGAACUGAAAGAACUGAAAGAACUGAAAGAACUGUCACUGGCAAAUCGGAUAUUGAGGAGGAAAUUAUACUUCCAGUAACUGUACCGUUAGAAUUAUCAAUUCCGUCCUCACUACCGUCCUCAGGUCGUAUGCAACGUAAAAUAUUAAGCCUCGGUUCAUCACUCGGAUUAAAUCGCGAGAGUUAUGAUUCUGGUGCUGAUUCUACGCCACGUGCUGCUAAACUUUCUCCAGCUACUUUGUCAAGGUAUCGCGCUGAAAGUUCCGGUUAUGAUAGCGUAGUCAGAGACAGCGAAAUUAGCAGCAUUGCCAGUGAUUCAUCAAGGCAAACUAGUGCACUCCAAGAGCAUCAAGGUGGCGCACUGGGAGUUCUAACAUCGACGUUGUGCGGAUGUUUCAGCGGUGGGACAACCGGGAGCCGAGUACGUGCAACACGUUCAACAUCAGCAGCAGUGGCAGCAGCAGCAUCAGAGGCAAACAAUCCUACCCGUGGUAGUACUCGAUUACACAGACGAGGACGUGGAAAUAAUGGAACGGAGAGGUCUAAUUCGCUCGGAUCCACGUGGCACAAUGUACAAGAUAAACAACCUACGUCUGCGCCAACGGCUUCUUAAAAUUGAGUUACGUGACGCUAAAAGACGACUAAUGAUACCCGAUAGUCGAUGGACUUAUGAUUUACACGUAGAAAAUAGUAUGGAUUGGCGUAAUUCAUCAUUUAUCGAAGCACUUGAAGCUGAAACAGUGAUACUACAAAAACGUGUCGAUGCUUGCAAAAGUCAUGUUUUACUUGUUACAUGUUUUGACUCUUAUAAUACUA
rnacentral:misc_RNA from 1 species